ACGCGCCCGCCAGGAGGGGGCGGAGGGACCGCGGAGGAGGAGCCUGGGGGACCCCUGGGCAGCCCGGUCGGCUCAGAUGGGUAACUGAUAACCAGAGGGAAGUGGCUUGCCCAAGAUCCCUUGGCAAGGUUUGGCAAAGCCUGGUUCUAGAAACCAAGCCUCAGACCUCUUGUCAUCUGUUCCUUGACAGCACCUCUUUCUUCAGACCCAGGACAACUCUCUACCGUAGGUACUACUGAUAUUCCUACAGAGGAGGCAACUGAGACUGAAGGUGGUGAUAGAAGCAUGUUCAUGAAGCUGCUAGAUUGGAGACAAAGCUUGAAUCCACAACUGAAGUAUGAGGAACUUCAGAGCCACUGAAACCAUAAUGGUCUGUAACCACUAUGCUACUCUAAUAUUAUUACAGAUAAGCAAACUGAGGCUUGAAGAGGUGAAGUUGCCUGAGGUGGCUGUGGGAUCUACCAUGCCCCAAGUUCACAGGGCAUCCCAGCUUCAAACUCCUGGCCAAAUCACCUUUUUUUCUCAUCUCCUCCUUGUCACUCUGGAAAUUGGGCUGAAUUCAGGCCAUCCUCGGAAACACAGGGUGUUGCCUCCACAGCUGGCAGAACAGCUAGGAAAGAGGCUUUGAUACUUGCUUGCUCCUACUUGACCCUAAUGGAAGUACAUCGUUUUAAAUUAACAAACUUUAUUUUUUAGUGAAGGUUUAGGUUCGCAAUAAAAUUGAACAGAAAGCAUAACGAAUUCACUACUCCCCUUCCCCACACAUGCACCACCUGCCCCACUAUUGACAUCCCCCCCCGCCCCCGCCAGAGUAAUAUGUUUGUUAUGGUUGAUGUUAUGAGCCUACCCUGAUAUAUCAUUAUCACCCAAAGUUCAUAGUUUACAUUAAGGUUCAGUGUUAGUGUUAUACACUCUACGGGUUUUAGCAAAUGUGUAACUAUAUGUAUCCACCAUUAUAAAUACCAUACCAAAUAGUUUCACUGCCUUAAAAAUCCUCUGUGAUCUGCCUAUUCAUCUCUCACCCCAAACCCCAA